UAAGUAAAUCGGAUAGUCGCAGGUACCUAUUACUUGGAUACCUGAGGAAAGUCGGAGCUCCACAGGGCAGGGUGCUGGAUAACGUCCAGUGGGGGUGACCCUAAGGAAAGUGCCACAGAAACAAACCGCCUGGCACUCAGUGUGCUGCGAAUAUGUAUAUUCGCAGCACACUGAGUGCCAGGUAAGGGUGGAAAGGUGAGGUAAGAGCUCACCAGCGCUUAGGUGACUAAGCGGCUCGGUAAACCCCACCUGGAGCAAGACCAAAUAGGGAAACAAUGAAGUGGCCCGCUUCGUUUCCGGGUUAGGUCGCUAGAGAUGUCAGGCAACUGGCAUCCCAGAUAGAUGACUAUCUAAAACAGAACUCCGCUUAUAGAUUUGCUUACCUC
rnacentral:RNase_P_RNA from 1 species